AAGUGUUGUACCACUGAGCUACAGCCCUGAUGUCUUAAAAAAAUAUAUUUUUAAAAAAUAUUUUAGUUGUCAAUGGUCCUUUAUUUAAUUUAUUUAUAUGCGGUGCUAAGAAUCAAACUCAGUUCCUGACACAUGCUAGGCAAGCACUCCACCACUGAGUCAUCACCCCAGCCCCUAAAAUGUUUCUAUUGGAACAUUAUAGUUACACAAAAAGGUGUGUCCAUUUUGACAUAAUAAUACACACAUGGAAUAUAAUUUACUCCACUUUAGGCCCCAAUACUUUCUCUUCUUCAGGCCCCAUUCACCUUCCUACACUGUUCUUCCUUUCAUGUAUUUACUUAAUUUAUAGAUAUACAUAAAAGUGGAACACACUGUGGUAUGUUCAUAUAUGUAUAAUUUUGUCACUUUCAUUCCUCAGUUCCUUUCUUUUCUCAUCCCUCCUUUCAGCUCCCUUCCUCUAACUCAGUGAUGGCCCCUUUGUUUUCUUGAGAUCUGUGCCCACCUCCCCAUUCCCUUUUGUUCCCCUUUACUUCAGUUUGAGCUGUUUUACUUAUAACAAGAUACUUCUGGCUCUUUUCUAGAAGGUAAAUCUUUCACACCUUUUCUGUUUUAUUAGGUGUUCUUGUUCUGUUCAGGGUUGUGGUUUUAGUAAAUAAUGGUAACUCCUUUUUCUGGAAAUUCAUAUAUUCUGCCUUAUAUUUAAAAUGUAGCAUGCAGCUGCACAUAAUAAGCUCAAUGUUUUAAAUAUAUAAAUCAUCUAUUAUGUAUCCUUUUUGUGUCUUUAUUUCUCUCCCCCACCCCCACCCCCAGUCCCAGCUGUGUUCCUCAGGCUGGCCUUGUGUUCCUCUUGGACUUAAGUGAUCCUCAGGCUUUAGCUUCCCUAAGUAGCUGGACUACAGGUAGGCAUGACUGCACGCCCGUUUUUUUUUGUUUGUUUGUUUUUCCUGAUUAGCCUAGCUAGGGUUUGUCCCAGUCUACCUCCAUUCUUUCUCUCAUUACCAGGGACUAAUUUACAGUUUAUUUAUUUAUUUCGCCAGUUUGAUUUUGAUUCUUUC
rnacentral:lncRNA from 1 species